rnacentral:tRNA from 1 species
GCGGGUGUAGUUCAACGGCCAGAACCUCAGCCUUCCAAGCUGAUGAUGGGAGUUCGAUUCUCCUCACCCGCU